AAAAGUUUUACUUCAUGUGCAACAUCCAAGUGCACCCACAAUUGCCAGAUCAACCAGCCCCAGGUGUGAUGAAUGUGCCAGCCUGAGCACCUGGGCCUCUCUUGGAGCUGCUAUCGUUUCGGGCCAUGAGGCUCAGCUGUCCUAGGAUCUUCACCUUCCUGCUGCCACGUGCAGGGCAGGAAAGCUGUGGGCAGUGCGAAGCUGGGUUUGGUUCUGUGAUGUGCAGCCUCUGGGUGCCUUGGAGGGAAGGCAGUGGAUGUGGACUGAGAAGCAAGUCAUUUUUUCCAGAGCAAGGGAGACUUGCAAUGAAGUACCUGGGAAAUGGGUGAAGAAUAUCAGUGGCAUAUGAACUCUAGAAGGAAAAUGGUUUUCAUCACUAUUGCCUGAACUUCUUAGAGUGACACUAUUUUUAAUUUUCCUUGCAGCUUUCAAACAAAUUGUACCUCUAUCUUAUGUUGGUCUAGACCCUUCCGUAGUUGAUUCAUAAUGCAAAGGACUUUGAAACAAUACUUUUAGUUCUGGUGUGUCCUUUCAACAAUAUCUAUCAUGGAUAGAAAAUUCAUGAAAGUCAUGUGCUUGAAUGCAAUAAAAAAAAACAGUGGGGGAAAAACACUUCUUCUGUGAAGUAUUCUGAUAGUCCUUCAAAAAUAAGAGCAGCUUUAAAAUUUUAAGCUUGUCCUGUUAACAGGAAUAAGCUCUGAAAAGUAAGAUCUCUACCUGAACCUUCAUUAUUUAACCCCGUGAGUCUAACAGGGUAAUUCAGAAAAGUUGUAAUUCACUUUAACCCUAUCAAAUAAGAUUACUAAUGCUAGAGCUGUUUAUACCACACCAGUGAUCUCAAAACUGUGGGCUCUUCCAUGGCUACUUUCAUCAAGAUUUAAUCUGUGAUUUAUAACUUGUAGUAAUGAGUCAGACUUUUGGUGGUUUCCGUGUUGCAUCUGCAGGAAGUGUUGCUUUGUGAGCUAAAGCCAUAGAUAUUUACCCUGUGAAUAAAUCCUAAGAGUGGCUUGAUCAUUUUAUGCGGUUUACUGUAUGACUGGACACACCUAGCUGCUUCCAUGUAGCUUCUCACAGUACAUGUUAAUGAGGCAAACUUUCUUGUUCAAAAGAAAUUUUACAGAAACUUGAAAUAUUUUCUUAUGUCACAAUUAUUUUUGCUUCUGUUUCUUGCUUUAUAGAAAAACUUAAUGUUUUAAGCUUGUACAGAUACUUAUGAUUUCCCUCCAAGUCUUUUGAAUUAUAAGUAACAAUUUUUCUUCAAUAUCACUGCUUCAUGUAAUUUUUGAAUCUAGUUUUAAACUUCAUGUUGAAUUAAUUAAGCACAGCUAUUUCCAUGCUGACCUCCACAGUAACUCUGGUUGUCUGUUCUCCUGGAGCAGAGAAAUCUGUGAGAGGCGAAGAAGACUGGGUUUAAUUCCCUUUGUACUGAUCCUGUAUUCUUUCACCUCAAUGUCACUGCUGAAACUGUUUCAGAGAGGUAGAGGCACCUGCCACAGCAGCUAGAGCAGGUCUUUUUGCCGUGUGUUUCCCAGUCCCCUGUACACAGACACUCCUUAGCAGAAGGCCAAAAUCUCCUGCAAUAAUUGUGCAAUGCAUUAAAUAUGAAGAUAUUUAAUGUCAUGUGCCUUGUCAUCUCUACUGCCUGAGGCAUGGGUUUCAUUAAAUAUAUCCUCACAUUGUGCUUGGCUUCUAAUUGUUAAUACUGGUAAUUAACUUACCAGAUCUUUAAUGACAGUCUUGAACUUAGCUGCCCUGGAUCUUGAUCUUGUACUGUUUCUGUCAUAAAGGAACAGAAAUCCCCUACCCUCAUUUUCUCUAGUAUUUUCUGUAUCAAUAAAGCAACCAAUUUAAGUGA